CUCCUCCUCUUCGGCCGCCGCCACCACCACGGCGGGCGGCUCGGCGCCGAAGCCCUUGCCGGGGCGCACGGCCUUGGUGAUGAGCGUGGCCAGCCCCAGGCACCAGGAGAGGUGAGAUGGAUAGAGCUGGAGGUGGUGAGCUGAUGGAGAUGUGCUGAGUGCCAUAGGUGGCUGUGAUUCCAGGAGCUGAACAGCUGGUGCCCCUGCAAGGACAUUCUGGUUCCAGGCAUGUACAGCUUUUCAGCAUUUGUAUCGUGUGCUGCCCAAGGAGUUAAACUGUGAACCAGAAGAUCCAUAUCUCUGCUGUUGGGCUGCUGGGAAGAUGUCUGAGUGGGUGUUUUGGACCAUUUCAAUAGAAGACUACCUAAAGUAUGUUUAGUUGUGGGAAGAUUCCUCUGCCCUGCAGACUUCUGGAGGGAUCACCUUGGCAGCUUUAUCUUGGUACCAAAUAAUUACAGCUUCUGAGAGUAACAUGAACGCUCUUCCCAUUGGAAAAAGAAGAGAACGUGAAUAGACACCAUUGUUUCCAAAGGUAACAAACAACUUUCCUCUAAAUUUAACACCCACAAUGUUGUAAAAACUGAAACCAGCAGGUACUGAAAGCUAAUAUCAGUGAACUAAUUUUAUUCAGGGUUAUAAAAUAACAAUGAUAAUAAAAAAUGAACAGCAUAGAGAUUUAGUUGAAUUUUGCUUUAAAUUUACAAUGCUCUUGAG